AAGAUGUCCGCUUCAGGUACA
rnacentral:misc_RNA from 1 species